GACGAACGCUGGCGGCGUGCCUAACACAUGCAAGUCGAACGGAGAUUGCAUUUAUGUAAUCUUAGUGGCGAACGGGUGAGUAACGCGUAGACAACCUACCGCUUAGAUGGGGACAACACUGGGAAACUAGUGCUAAUACCGAAUGUUGUAUUGAAGCUGCAUGGUUUUGAUACUAAAGAUGGCCUCUGCAAAUGCUAUCGCUAAGUGAUGGGUCUGCGUCUGAUUAGCUAGUUGGUGAGGUAAUGGCUCACCAAGGCGACGAUCAGUAGCCGGUCUGAGAGGAUGAACGGCCACACUGGGACUGAGACACGGCCCAGACUCCUACGGGAGGCAGCAGUGGGGAAUCUUCCGCAAUGGACGACAGUCUGACGGAGCAACGCCGCGUGAGUGAAGAAGGUUUUCGGAUCGUAAAGCUCUGUUUUCAGGGACGAAUGUGCAGAUUGUAAAUAAUGAUUUGUAAUGACGGUACCUGAGUAGAAAGCCACGGCUAACUACGUGCCAGCAGCCGCGGUAA
rnacentral:rRNA from 1 species